rnacentral:lncRNA from 10 species
GGGCCAGCCAGGGCAGGCAGGGACAGCCCCUCUGAUGAGGAGGCCACUGGGCUGAGACCAAUGAAUGAGAUGGAGCCAGCCACGUGGUGAGCCAGAAGAGGGCAUCACAGGUCCAUGAAAUGGGCUCCCGAAGUCCAACCUCACAGACCCCAUAGGAAAGCAGAUGGAAUCUCCAAGGGCACCAGCUAUACAUGGUGGUGGAAGGACCAACGCAUGCUCUGAAU